rnacentral:rRNA from 1 species
UACGUAGGGUCCGAGCGUUGUCCGGAAUUACUGGGCGUAAAGAGCUCGUAGGUGGUUUGUCGCGUUGUUCGUGAAAACUCACAGCUUAACUGGGGGCGUGCGGGCGAUACGGGCAGACUGGAGUACUGCAGGGGAGACUGGAAUUCCUGGUGUAGCGGUGGAAUGCGCAGAUAUCAGGAGGAACACCGAUGGCGAAGGCAGGUCUCUGGGCAUUAACUGACGCUGAGGAGCGAAAAGCAUGGGGGAGCGAACAGG